CUACGGGUCGCUGCAGUCGAGAAUCUUCCACAAUGGACGAAAGUCUGAUGGAGCGACGCCGCGUGAAGGAUGAAGUGGUUCGCCAUGUAAACUUCUUUUAUAGAUCAGAAAUUUUUGAUCAAUCUAUGAAUAAGGAGUUGCUAAACUCGUGCCAGCAGCAGCGGUAAUACGAGUGCUCCAAGCGUUAUCCGGAAUUAUUGGGCGUAAAGGGUGUGUAGGUUGUUCUCUUAGUCAGGUGUUAAAUCUUUCCGCUUAACGGAAAACCAGCAUCUGAAACGGGAGAACUAGAGGUUGCGAGGGGUCUGUAGAACUCAUGGUGUAGGGGUGAAAUCCGUUGAUAUCAUGGGGAAUACCAAAAGCGAAGGCAGCAGACUGGCGCAAAUCUGACACUGAAACACGAAAGCGUGGGUAGCGAACUGGAUUAGAUACCCUUGUAGUC
rnacentral:rRNA from 1 species